UGAAUACUCCCUCCGUUCCGAAAUACUUGUCGGAGAAAUGAAUGUAUCUUAUACCUAUUUUAGUUCUAGAUACAUCUAUUUUUAUUCAUUUCCGCGACAAGUGAUUCCGGACAAAUGGAGUAUCCG
rnacentral:pre_miRNA from 1 species